AUUGAACGCUGGCGGCAGGCCUAACACAUGCAAGUCGAGCGGAUGAAGGGAGCUUGCUCCUGGAUUCAGCGGCGGACGGGUGAGUAAUGCCUAGGAAUCUGCCUGGUAGUGGGGGAUAACGUCCGGAAACGGGCGCUAAUACCGCAUACGUCCUGAGGGAGAAAGUGGGGGAUCUUCGGACCUCACGCUAUCAGAUGAGCCUAGGUCGGAUUAGCUAGUUGGUGGGGUAAAGGCCUACCAAGGCGACGAUCCGUAACUGGUCUGAGAGGAUGAUCAGUCACACUGGAACUGAGACACGGUCCAGACUCCGACGGGAGGCAGCAGUGGGGAAUAUUGGACAAUGGGCGAAAGCCUGAUCCAGCCAUGCCGCGUGUGUGAAGAAGGUCUUCGGAUUGUAAAGCACUUUAAGUUGGGAGGAAGGGCAGUAAGUUAAUACCUUGCUGUUCUGACGUUACCAACAGAAUAAGCACCGGCUAACUUCGUG
rnacentral:rRNA from 1 species